AGAUUGAACGCUGGCGGCAUGCUUUACACAUGCAAGUCGAACGGUAACAGGCCGCAAGGUGCUGACGAGUGGCGAACGGGUGAGUAAUGUAUCGGAACGUGCCCAGUCGUGGGGGAUAACGCAGCGAAAGCUGCGCUAAUACCGCAUACGAUCUAUGGAUGAAAGCGGGGGACCGUAAGGCCUCGCGCGAUUGGAGCGGCCGAUAUCAAGAUUAGGUAGUUGGUGGGGUAAAAGCUCACCAAGCCGACGAUCUGUAGCUGGUUUGAGAGAACGACCAGCCACACUGGGACUGAGACACGGCCCAGACUCCCGUACGGGAGG
rnacentral:rRNA from 1 species